NNNNNNNNNNNNGAACAACAUUAGACUACUCACUUGCACCCUAACAGUAUAAAUUUGCAACCAGUACUUUUUCUCAUUUUAUCGAACAAUGAGUAAAAGCUAAUUAUAUUGUUCUAUUAUGCCCCGAGAGUGUAAAUUUGGAACGAUUCGAAGUCAACUUUCACAAGAACCAAAACCGGAACAACAUUAGACUACUCAGUUGCGCCCUAACAGUAUAACAUAGCAACGAGUACUUUUUAUCGUUUAAUCGAAC
rnacentral:lncRNA from 1 species